AACGAACGCUGGCGGCAUGCCUAACACAUGCAAGUCGAACGAGACCUUCGGGUCUAGUGGCGCACGGGUGCGUAACGCGUGGGAACCUGCCCUUAGGUUCGGAAUAACUCCCCGAAAGGGGUGCUAAUACCGGAUAAUGUCUUCGGACCAAAGAUUUAUCGCCUUUGGAUGGGCCCGCGUUGGAUUAGCUAGUUGGUAGGGUAAAAGCCUACCAAGGCGACGAUCCAUAGCUGGUCUGAGAGGAUGAUCAGCCACACUGGGACUGAGACACGGCCCAGACUCCUACGGGAGGCAGCAGUGGGGAAUAUUGGACAAUGGGCGAAAGCCUGAUCCAGCAAUGCCGCGUGAGUGAUGAAGGCCAGGGUUGUAAAGCUCUUUUACCCGGGAUGAUAAUGACAGUACCGGGAGAAUAAGCUCCGGCUAACUCCGUG
rnacentral:rRNA from 1 species